rnacentral:rRNA from 1 species
AUUGAACGCUGGCGGCAGGCCUAACACAUGCAAGUCGAACGAGUGGCGGACGGGUGAGUAAUGUCUGGGACACUGCCUGAUGGAGGGGGAUAACUAUUGGAAACGGUAGCUAAUACCGCAUACUAUCGGAUGUACCCAGAUGGGCUUAGCUAGUAGGUGGGGUAAAGGCUCACCUAGGCGACGAUCCCUAGCUGGUCUGAGAGGAUGAUCAGCGACACUGGAACUGAGACACGGCCCAGACUCCUACGGGAGGCAGCAGUGGGGAAUAUUGCGCAAUGGGCGCAAGCCUGAUGCAGCCAUGCCGGGUGUAUGAAGAAGGCCUUGGGGUUGUAAAGUACUUUCAGCGGGGAGGCGUUACCCGCAGAAGAAGCACCGGCUAACUCCGUGCCAGCAGCCGCGGUAAUUC